ACCUUCCUCCACUAUCUUUUGAUCCUUAGAUGGUUUUAUAGUAAAAUCAGAAAUUGGUUUCCAUACUUUGACAAUGGUAGAUUUGUUUUUAAGUGUCAUCAAACUAGAGGCCCCUCCAGCUAUCUUAUCACCUUCAUUUGAAUUGUUAACUAAGAUUUUUGCUUGCGGUGGAGAUGAGGAUGAUGAUCGAGUGUGUUGCUUUUUUUGGAGAUCUUUUGUGUUUCCCC
rnacentral:lncRNA from 1 species